rnacentral:rRNA from 1 species
GAUUGACUCCGAUCAGGUUGGGAUACCCGCUGAACUUAAGCAUAUC